CGGGGGGCUCCAGCAGUGAGGAAUAUUGCACAAUGGGGGGAACCCUGAUGCAGCAACGCCGCGUGGAGGAUGACGCAUUUCGGUGUGUAAACUCCUUUUAUAUGUCAAGAAAAUGACGGUAGCAUAUGAAUAAGCACCGGCUAACUCCGUGCCAGCAGCCGCGGUAAUACGGAGGGUGCAAGCGUUACUCGGAAUCACUGGGCGUAAAGGACGCGUAGGCGGGUUGGAAAGUCAGGUGUGAAAUCCUACAGCUUAACUGUAGAACUGCACUUGAAACUUCUAAUCUAGAGUAUGGGAGGGGGAGAUGGAAUUAGUGGUGUAGGGGUAAAAUCCGUAGAUAUCACUAGGAAUACCUAAAGCGAAGGCGAUCUCCUGGAACAUUACUGACGCUAAGGCGUGAAAGCGUGGGGAGCAAACAGGAUUAGAUACCCCCGUAGUC
rnacentral:rRNA from 1 species